AGAGUUCGAUCCUGGCUCAGGAUGAACGCUGGCGGCAGGCUUAAUACAUGCAAGUCGAACGGUAAGGUCCGAAGUGGCAACACGGAGGAUACACGAGUGGCGCACGGGUGCGUAACGCGUAUGCAACCUGCCCCCGACCGGGACAAAACAGGGGAUGGGCAUGCGUAUUAUUAGGUAGUUGGCGGGGUAACGGCCCACCAAGCCGACGAUGAUUAGGGGUCCUGAGAGGGUUAACCCCCACACUGGAACUGAGACACGGUCCAGACUCCUACGGGAGGCAGCAGUAGGGAAUAUUGGGCAAUGGGAGCAAUCCUGACCCAGCCAUGCCGCGUGAAGGAAGACGGCCCUAUGGGUUGUAAACUUCUUUUGCCGCAGAGUAAACCCGGUCACGAGUGGUCGGUUGAGAGUAUGCGGCGAAUAAGUAUCGGCUAACUCCGUGCCAGCAGCCGCGGUAAUACGGAGGAUACGAGCGUUAUCCGGAUUUAUUGGGUUUAAAGGGUGCGCAGGCGGACCGCUAAGUCAGGGGUGAAAAGUUCGGGCUUAACCUGAAUCGUGCCUUUGAUACUGGCGGACUAGAGUGCGAUAGGCGUGGCCGGAAUGUGGUGUGUAGCGGUGAAAUGCUUAGAUAUGCCACAGAACACCGAUCGAGAAGUCAGGUCACGAGUUCGCAACUGACGCUCAUGCACGAAAGCGUGGGGAUCAAACAGGAUUAGAUACCCUGGUAGUCCACGCCGUAAACGAUGAUCACUCGUUGCCGGGCAGCGAUGUUCGGUGGCCAGGUUGAAACUCAAAGGAAUUGACGGGGGCCCGCACAAGCGGAGGAGCAUGUGGUUUAAUUCGAUGAUACGCGAGGAACCUUACCCGGGCUUGAACGUAACACCAACAUACAGGAGACUGUAUGGCCUUCGGGGGUGUUGCGAGGUGCUGCAUGGUUGUCGUCAGCUCGUGCCGUGAGGUGUUAGGUUAAGUCCUGCAACGAGCGCAACCCUUACCUUCAGUUGCCAGCACGUAAUGGUGGGGACUCUGGAGGAACUGCCUACGCAAGUAGAGAGGAAGGUGGGGAUGACGUCAAAUCAGCACGGCCCUUAUGUCCGGGGCUACACACGUGCUAC
rnacentral:rRNA from 1 species